rnacentral:tRNA from 1 species
AAAAAGAUAAGCUAAUAAAGCUAAUAGGUUCAUACCCUAUUUAUAGAAAUAAUUAAUUUUCUUCUUUUUA